GAUGAACGCUGGCGGCGUGCCUAAUACAUGCAAGUCGAACGCUGAAGGAGGAGCUUGCUCUUCUGGAUGAGUUGCGAACGGGUGAGUAACGCGUAGGUAACCUGCCUGGUAGCGGGGGAUAACUAUUGGAAACGAUAGCUAAUACCGCAUGACAACAGUUAUUGCAUGAUAACUGUUUAAAAGGGGCAACUGCUCCACUACCAGAUGGACCUGCGUUGUAUUAGCUAGUUGGUGAGGUAACGGCUCACCAAGGCGACGAUACAUAGCCGACCUGAGAGGGUGAUCGGCCACACUGGGACUGAGACACGGCCCAGACUCCUACGGGAGGCAGCAGUAGGGAAUCUUCGGCAAUGGACGGAAGUCUGAACGAGCAACGCCGCGUGAGUGAAGAAGGUUGUCGGAUCGUAAAGCUCUGUUGUAAGAGAAGAACGAGUGUGAGGGUGGAAAGUUCACACUGUGACGGUAGCUUACCAGAAAGGGACGGCUAACUACGUG
rnacentral:rRNA from 1 species